AUGCUGGUACCGGCACCAUAUACGGCUCUGGAGAAGAAGGCCAAGAAGAAAGCCAAGGGGGCCAAGAGUGGCCCCCGUUGCAAGGGCACUUCGUACGCGACGUCCGAAGACGACGAGGCCCAUUCCUCUGUCCCUGAGGACAACGACGAGGAAGAGGAAGAGGAGGAGGAAAACAACCCUCCUCCCGAGGAGAAGAAGAAGAAGUGGGUGGCCUCGACACAUCUAGAGGCGCAAGCACCCAAAAAGGGGAAGGGCGCCCCAGCGGUCAACACCGUGUGGGACGUCGAUAGCAGUCCGGAAAGUCACGCCUGCAGUAGGCCCCAGGCCGCAUCGUAA
rnacentral:rRNA from 1 species